rnacentral:rRNA from 1 species
UACAGAGGUCCCAAGCGUUGUUCGGAUUCACUGGGCGUAAAGGGUGCGUAGGCGGUCGGGUAAGUCUGACGUGAAAUCUCCGGGCCUAACCCGGGAACUGCGUCGGAUACUAUCCGGCUAGAGGAUUGGAUGGGAGACUGGAAUACCUGGUGUAGCAGUGAAAUGCGUAGAUAUCAAGUGGAACACCAGUGGCGAAGGCGAGUCUCUGGACAAUUCCUGACGCUGAGGCACGAAAGCCAGGGGAGCAAACGGG